UGAACCGGGGGAACCUGACAGCAAUGCCGCGUGAGUGAAGAAGGCCUUCGGGUUGUAAAGCUCUUUUGUCAGGGAAGAAACACCGGCUCUAACACAGUCCGGGAAUGACGGUACCUGAAGAAUAAGCACCGGCUAACUACGUGCCAGCAGCCGCGGUAAUACGUAGGGUGCAAGCGUUAAUCGGAAUUACUGGGCGUAAAGCGUGCGCAGGCGGUUAUACAAGACAGGCGUGAAAUCCCCGGGCUUAACCUGGGAAUGGCGCCUGUGACUGUAUAGCUAGAGUGUGUCAGAGGGGGGUAGAAUUCCACGUGUAGCAGUGAAAUGCGUAGAUAUGUGGAGGAAUACCAAUGGCGAAGGCAGCCCCCUGGGAUAACACUGACGCUCAUGCACGAAA
rnacentral:rRNA from 1 species